CCUACGGGUGGCAGCAGUGAGGAAUAUUGGUCAAUGGACGUAAGCCUGAACCAGCCAAGUCGCGUGAGGGAUGAAGGUUCUAUGGAUCGUAAACCUCUUUUAUAAGGGAAUAAAAUGUGGCACGUGUCCUAUUUUGUAUGUACCUUAUGAAUAAGGAUCGGCUAACUCCGUGCCAGCAGCCGCGGUAAUACGGAGGAUCCGAGCGUUAUCCGGAUUUAUUGGGUUUAAAGGGUGCGUAGGCGGCCUUUUAAGUCAGCGGUGAAAGUUUGUGGCUCAACCAUAAAAUUGCAGUUGAAACUGGGGGUCUUGAGUAUAUUUGAGGUAGGCGGAAUGCGUGGUGUAGCGGUGAAAUGCUUAGAUAUCACGAAGAACCCCGAUUGCGAAGGCAGCCUGCCAAGCUAUGACUGACGCUGAUGCACGAAAGCGUGGGGAUCAAACAGGAUUAGAUACCCUUGUAGUC
rnacentral:rRNA from 1 species